rnacentral:rRNA from 1 species
ACUCACACCCAUCAACGCCCGGGUACUACGAGCCCCAGCUUAAAACCCAAAGGACUUGACGGUGUCCCAUCCACCUAGAGGAGCCUGUUCUAUAAUCGAUAAUCCCCGCUAAACCCAACCUCCUCUUGCAAUCAGUCUGUAUACCUCCGUCGUAAGCUUACCAUAUGAAUGACCCCAGUAAGCUAAAUGAUUAUAACACCCCAAUACGUCAGGUCAAGGUGCAGCUCAUGAGAAGGCAAGCAAUGGGCUACAAUUUCUAAUCUAGAACAAACGAAACACUGCAUGAAACUCAGCUGUGAAGGCGGAUUUAGUAGUAAAAAGAAAAUAGCGUGUUCUUUUUAACUAGGCCCUGGGACGUGU